AGACGGUGCAGGCAGGUACCACGUGGAAGACCCACAAAGGAAGGCUAAACAAGUACAUUUGCUGUGUGCACAAAACAGAUUUCCAGGUGGUUUUGAGUUCUUUUCCUUCGAGAUGGUGCUGACACAAGCAUGUUACGCUGCAGUGGACUUUUCAGCGAGCCGAUGCCCUCCAGGCUUCCGCCGAAGAGCUCAUCCCACGCCACGUAGAGAAGGUCUGGAUCACCAAUGGCAGACUGACCUGGAGUGCUGUUUGCAAAGACUGAGGAAUUGGAUUCUGACAACCCAGUCAAAGGCAGACACAGAAAUGUACAAACUUGGGUAGAGUCACUGAUGGAAGCCUGAAGAUGAGCCUUGAAGGCUUCAGCUGUUGUAUAAUCCACUUGUGAACAUCAGGGUUUCCAUCCAUAAAAGAGAGGCCAGAGGUGGGGAGACAUGAGUUGCCAGCUGCCGUCCUGUAGCAGCUCUGCACCGGCAUGGGUCUGACCUGUGUGUCCCGCUUGUGUGAGCCUUGCUGCUAGCAGCUCAGCAUGCACCUGGCCAGAGACUGAUCCAGGCCUCUCACUGGGUCAUCAUCCCUGGAAAUUAGCAACACAGCGACUGGAAAUGUUGCAUGCUCUGCACUAGGGACUAGGAUUGGGUUAGGAACCUUCCUUCACUGCAAGGCUAUGAUUAAGUAAGGGGAGGAUUCAGUUCUCCACCAUGAAUACGGGCUGGGGGAGUGGCAGACAUGUUCAGGUUCUGAUAAAGUGUAAGCCCCUGUCUGAAAUGGCUUUUUAUUUCUGAAGUGAAAUCAUUUUGGGAAUGGGAGAUAAUUCAUGCAGCAUAACAUGUUCAACAUUUUCCAUUCGAAAAUAAUGCACUGGUUACUUUUUUUAAAAUUCACUUUAUUUAUUUUUAACCCAUUUUAUUUUUUUCAAUAAAUUUUUUUUUAAUUUUAUUUUGAAAGUGAUAAAAUACAACAGAACAAGACAGAAUAAAGCCAACUAAGAUCAUAUAGUGAAAUUAGUAAAGAACUUCACAGCAGGUUACCAGGAUAACAGUAAUAAGUAUCACAGUAUAUUUCAUUAUCUUUAUAAUAGUUGUUCUUUCAGUCACGUAUAUCAACAUGAGAUGAAAUACAGGACAUUGUAGAAUUUAUCAAAACAAUAUUGAAUAGAGCAGUACCAUGAAUCAGAAUAGAGCAAAACAGUAAUAAAAAUAUUUGCCUUCAAAGCGAUGGUAGAGGGAAGUCCCCCUUAUUUGCUAUGGUCAACCUCCCAGAAGAUACUCAGAUUUGUGGUUCCCAUUUGCUAACGGGGUGGGGGGGCGCGGACAGGUAAAGGGAGGUAGGGGAAGUAGGAUGUUUG
rnacentral:lncRNA from 1 species